rnacentral:rRNA from 1 species
GGGUAACGGGGAAUUAGGGUUCGAUUCCGGAGAGGGAGCCUGAGAAACGGCUACCACAUCCAAGGAAGGCAGCAGGCGCGCAAAUUACCCAAUCCCGACACGGGGAGGUAGUGACAAUAAAUAACAACACAGGGCUCUUUCGGGUCUUGUUAUUGGAAUGAGUACGAUUUAAAUCUCCUAACGAGGAACAAUUGGAGGGCAAGUCUGGUGCCAGCAGCCGCGGUAAUUCCAGCUCCAAUAGCGUAUAUUAAAGUUGUUGCAGUUAAAAAGCUCGUAGUUGAACUUCAGGCCUGGCUGGACGGUCCGCCUUCCGGGUGAGUACUGUCUGUGGUCGGGUCCUACCUUCUGGCGAAGCGUCAUGGCCUUAACCGGCCGUGGCGGGGAACCAGGACUUUUACUGUGAAAAAAUUAGAGUGUUCAAAGCGGGCAAUUCGCUUGGAUACAUUAGCAUGGAAUAAUGGAAUAGGACAAUUGUUCUAUUUGUUGGUUUCUAGGACUGUUGUAAUGAUUAAUAGGGAUAGUUGGGGGCAUUAGUAUUCAAUUGUCAGAGGUGAAAUUCUUGGAUUUAUUGAAGACUAACUACUGCGAAAGCAUUUGCCAAGGAUGUUUUCAUUAAUCAAGAACGAAAGUUAGGGGAUCGAAGACGAUCAGAUACC